AGAGUUUGAUCAUGGCUCAGGAUGAACGCUGACAGAAUGCUUAACACAUUGCAGUCUACUUGAAUUUAGGUUUUUUAACUUCGAUUUGGGUGGCGGACGGGUGAGUAACGCGUAAAGAACUUGCCUCACAGCUAGGGACAACAUUUGGAAACGAAUGCUAAUACCUGAUAUUAUGAUUAUAGGGCAUCCUAGAAUUAUGAAAGCUAUAUGCGCUGUGAGAGAGCUUUGCGUCCCAUUAGCUUGUUGGUGAGGUAACGGCUUACCAAGGCGAUGAUAGGUAGCCGGCCUGAGAGGGUGAACGGCCACAAGGGGACUGAGAUACGGCCCUUACUCCUACGGGAGGCAGCAGUGGGGAAUAUUGGACAAUGGGGGCAACCCUGAUCCAGCAAUUCUGUGUGCACGAAGAAGGUUUUCGGAUUGUAAAGUGCUUUCAGCAGGGAAGAAGAAAGUGACGGUACCUGCAGAAGAAGCGACGGCUAAAUACGUGCCAGCAGCCGCGGU
rnacentral:rRNA from 1 species